rnacentral:rRNA from 1 species
UACGUAGGGUGCAAGCGUUAAUCGGAAUUACUGGGCGUAAAGCGUGCGCAGGCGGUUGUGCAAGACAGAUGUGAAAUCCCCGGGCUCAACCUGGGAAUUGCAUUUGUGACUGCACGGCUAGAGUGUGUCAGAGGGGGGUAGAAUUCCACGUGUAGCAGUGAAACGCGUAGAGAUGUGGAGGAAUACCGAUGGCGAAGGCAGCCCCCUGGGAUAACACUGACGCUCAUGCACGAAAGCGUGGGGAGCAAACAGG